rnacentral:SRP_RNA from 1 species
GCCGGGCGCGGUGGCAUGCACCUAUAGUCCUAGCUACUCAGGAGGCUGAGGUGGGAGGAUUGCUUGAGCCCAGGAGCACUGCAGUGAGCAGAGAUCAGGCCACUGCAUUCCAGCCUGGGCGACAGAGUGAGACCCCAUCUCAA